rnacentral:ncRNA from 1 species
ACAACGGCGAUGAUAAAGGAGAGUAGUAUAGGAGCGGCCGCUUAAGAGAGUUGGCGGGUGGUGCGAGCCAACCGGUCCCCCAUACGAAUGGGCUUUGGAGCCGUUUUCCUGAACGCGGGGGCAUGCGAUAGAUUCCGUCAGUAAGGAAAUCCGGGUUAUUCCGUUAUGAAUGAAUGAAGUGUGCCUGAAGUGUGUGUUUUUCGGGCAAAUAAGGGUGGUACCGCGAGUUCAGGCUCGUCCCUUAC